rnacentral:lncRNA from 1 species
AACCAAGUCAAAUUAUAAUAAGUGUAAACUUUAUAAAUAUCAUCCAUAUAAUUUCGUAUUUUUUUACUUUAAUACUUUAUAAUUUAAAGUGUAUUAAUUUAGUAUCUUAUGAUUUUAUUUUUUUUUUCGUCAAUCCUUCCGUUAACUUUUCAUUAAAUUAUAUACAAAAAAUUUUAGAUAUCCCACCUAUAGUUUAUUGAAUAUUCACUUUAGUGUCUUUUAGUUUUAUCUGUCACUGAUUUAACAAAAAAAAUUAGUGGAGGAAAAAAUAAAAAGAGAAAAAUAAAACUACAGAGUACGAAAGUGGUAUAUAUACUUGUAUAUGAUACUAAAAUAAGAAAGUACGAAAUUACAGAAGUGGUAUUUAAAGUUUUUCCUAAUACUAAUAAGGUAAAUAUGUAUGGAAACCCCUGUGCAAUAGUAUGCUUCAUUAAUCAUUAUAGGGAAAGUAAAACUGAAUUAAAAUGUAAUAAAAUUAUCAACUUAAUUAACUCUAAAAAUGCAAUUCAAAAUAGUUAGAACUUAUACGAUAUAAAUAAAAAAUUAGAAUUUGAUGGGUCUAUUUCAGAACGGCCUAUAGUUGAAAGAGUUUGUAUACACUUUUACAUAAUAGUAAUAGUAAUAAUAAUAAUCCAUGAUACCGAUUGUCCCUAGUAUAAGUGGCAAGUGUUUGAUGGUUGGUAUUCGAGGCGCCAAGUUCAAAUCCUAAUUGAUUCACAUUUCUAGCUAGCUAAGUUUUAAAAAUAAACUAGAAGAAAUAAUCGUAGCGGAUAAGAUGCUUUCUCUCAAUAAUAGUGCAUGAUUCUCUACCAUAUUUAUAAUUAAGCCUAGUUUUUCUUGUACUUUUACUUCUUUUAAGGUCUAAAGUUAAUGAAUAUUAUUAAAGUACAUUAUCCAACUACUUACAGAUAGGUUAUCACAAGGAAGUUGUUUGUGAAUUUUGCGGAUUAAGAGACAUUAUAGCAAUCAUAUAUAUAUAUAAGUUAACUUGUUAGAGUUUUUCUUUUAAGAAAAAAAUAACACAUCAUUUUUUAAUUCUUAAACUAUCAGAGAGUGAUGUUUUUACUAUUCUAUAUAUAUAUAUAUAAGACUUUUUCUCACAUGCGUCUAGCUCGAGAGCUUUUUGAUAGGCUUAAAACCUUGAUUUGAACUAAAUUAAUGGAAGCUCAGCUUAAUAAAAACUUGUUUAUUUUCUAUAAAAAAAUACAUUCCAUUUGAAAGGUAAUGUAUCCUAUUCUUGAUAUUAGACAUUGUAACCACUUAAUUACCCUUGCAAAUUAUUUUGGUUUAAACCACUAGAAUAUUGUGGGUGCAAAGUCCAACUAAUUAAGCUUUUAUAUUUAAAAAUUAAUAACAUAAUUUCCCACAUCCUGGAAUGAGCAAUAUUUGAGUUGUACCAAAGAAUAAUAUUAAGGGUAAUUACAAUGCACACAAACUGCUUAAUUAUCUCAAUCUCACAAGACUAGACUUUUUCUCUAGCUUAUCAAUUAUUUUUUAGUUUCUGUUUACAUCAAUGCAUUUUACUAAUUCGGAUUUCACAUACUAUAGGUACCAUACUUGAUUUGGCUAUGAAAUAAGAGGAAUUAUAUAUAUAUAUAGAGUUGAGCUAGAAUACUCUCGAUAGUAAACGGGGCGUUUUACUAUCGAGUUGUUUUCGAUGAUAGAGCUUCCAAAUUGACGAUCGGCUCCGUUGAACAUGAUGUAUACCACUUGAAGUGUUUAGAAAUCAAAUUUCAAAUCUUUUCGACAUCAUUUGCCUAAUGAUCAAAGGGUUUCAAAAUUUGUAAUUUUAAUGGUGGAUAAGAGACGUUUUCUCGUUUAACGGUGUAAAGAUAUCCAAAUCAAUUGAAUUUUUGUUAGAAAAUUCUUUAAACUAUUUAAAACAAGAUCAAUAUCUUUGAUUUAAAUAUUUAAUGUAUUUAUUAAAUUUGUGAGAUUUUAUUUUCAGCCCGUGAUUUUGAGCCCCUUCGUUCACUAGGCAAAUGGAUAUCGUAAAAUCAUAAAAUUUUAUUUCUAGAUACUUCAAAUACUCUAGAUCAAGUUUAAGCGGAGCCAAAUCGACGAUUCGAAAGUCGCAACAUCGAAAACGAGGGGUAAGCGCACGGAAGGCUCCGUGCUUCCGAUAGUAUAGUAGCCUCACUCUAUAUAUAUAUAUAUAUAUGUAUGUAUGUAUGUAUGUAUGUACGUAAAUUCUGAUUAAAAUAAGCUAAAAUCAUAAUUUUAUGAACCGAAAAAUUUGAAGCUCCAAUCCAGCCAAAGCACGUAAACAGUUAUAGGCGGGCCCACAAACCGUAGAGCGGGUCCACCAAAGCACCUCUCUGAGUCCACGUCAGCAAUGUGGGCCCCACAAGGCCGUGCCGUAUGCGAAUAAAGUGACAGCUCCUUUUAACCCUUCUCCCUCCACACAUAAAUUUCAAAAAAAAAAAAAAAGCGAACAAAAAAAUGUCUUCAUCGAUCGUUUUCCCUCUUCGCUAUAAAUCCCCAUCGAAGGAUCAGCGAGCACGCUCUCUCUCUCUCUCUCUCUCUCUCUCUCUCUCUCUCUCUCUCUUCUUCUUCUUCUUCUUCUUCCUCUCUCUCUCUCUCCAUUCUCCGAUCUUAGCCUUUUUAGGGUUUAGAGUAGGUAUUGUGGGAGGUGGGAGUUGAGAGAUCGAUCGCUGCUGCUUCUUUAGAAGCCCUAAUAAGUGUAACUUCUCUUUCCCUCUUUGUCUCAUUCUCUUGAUUCUAAUUGGUAAUUGCGUGAUCGUUGUUGUUUCAACUAUUUCUGAAUCUAUUACUACUAGCGUAUGAACUCAAUGCAAUCACACGAAAUGCGAAAUGCAGCACAAAUAACUUCACAUGUUGUGGGGAGUAUCGACCAGGCUCUUCAUAUAUACCGUGUUAAACGGCUCAGGCCAAAUCAAAAAGUUUAAACUAUUAGGUGGAGAUACACUUCAUACUAUAUACAGGUCAAGAUUCUAAUUUGUAUUAAAUAUGAGACUACGAUUGUUAACACAAUCCACUAUGCUUACCAUUUAGUGGGUUAUGUACAUGGUGUUAUUCAGCUAAUAUCCAUUAUGUAGAUGGGGAUAUAAGAUAACCCCUUAAAAUAAAGGUAAAAUGGGGAUGGUUUCCAGGGCAAAGGUGAGAUUUUUGUACAUUUCAGAGCUUAAUCUCUGAACAAAUUAAUUUCUUUGUUUAGGGGGGAGAUUGGGUAAUUAGAAUCCUAUGAGAAAAUUCAAUAAUGUGCAAUUCAGAGGUGAGAUAAUGCUUGAACAGAGGAAAUUAGUGAUGAGAGGAAAGGUGAGAGAACAGGCACAAGUUUCUGAUAGUGAAGGAAAGAGCUCGAACUGUUGAUUUCUUAUAUCCUUUUUAUUUUCCCGAUUUGUUUAAUUUUUAGAGUUGGUUUUGGUCCCUUUUGAUGUAAAUAUUUUUUCCUUUUUUGGAAGGGGACAACCUUUUGAAGACUAACUUUUUUUUUUGGUCAAUUGCUUGCAGGGCCGUUUUGGAUCAAUCGGGCUUGUUUUUCUUUCGCUCUCCUGUUGAUUCAUCGGCCUCCUCAUAGCAAUUUUUUGGUUUGAUUAUCACGUGUGCCAUACGCGAUUGUUGUUCUAGUGAUUCGCUCAAUGAGUUGUUAAUCUCUUCAAGCUGUAUGUGAAUUUAGGACAUCUUUCACUUAUAUUUUCUGUUCUUGUAUUUGCUGUUAUUUUACAAUCUUUAGCAAGAUUUCAAUUUCUCUUUCUUAGGCUGAAUAUUUACUUUUUCUUUAUAUUCCUUUUCUAAUGAUUUUUAAGUUUAUAAAAUGUUUUCAUAUCUUUUGCCUAUGGUUUAAAAACAUAUAUAGAUUGAAAUGUCUUCUUGUGGAUAAUAAGUGUUUCUGGCUGCAGAUUCAUUUUAUCAUAAAACAGUGUAGUAGCAUUCUUUGUGACAAAGAUGUUAGGAGCUGUGUUGGUCGCGAUUGCUGCUUCGAUUGGUAAUAUGUUGCAGGGAUGGGAUAAUGCUACAAUUGCAGGUAUUCAUGCUUGACCAAGGACCAUGAAUAGUACUUGAUGUAGCUUUGUCUCUAACUUACCUGCUGUAGUCUCAAUUGGUAGGGUACAUUUUUUUGUUUACGUUGUCUCAAUUUUCACCUGUAGUUGCGGUUAUCUACAUCAAAAAGGAAUUUAAGUUGGAGAGUGCACCCACAAUCGAAGGAUUAAUCGUAGCAAUGUCACUUAUUGGUGCCACAAUCAUCACAACAUUCUCUGGACCUGUAUCAGACUGGGUCGGUAGGCGGUAUAUGUUAAUUUCCUCAUCUAUCCUAUACUUCUUGAGCGGCUUGCUUAUGCUGUGGUCGCCUAAUGUGUAUGUUCUAUUACUGGGAAGGCUAAUCGAUGGAUUCGGAAUUGGUUUAGCUGUCACCCUUGUUCCUGUAUAUAUAUCAGAGACGGCCCCACCAGAGAUUAGGGGACAGCUGAACACCUUUCCACAGUUCAGUGGCUCUGGAGGGAUGUUUUUCUCAUAUAUAAUGGUUUUCUUCAUGACUUUAGCACCUAUUCCAAAUUGGAGAGUCAUCCUGGGAGUUCUCUUCAUCCCUUCUGUUCUAUACAUCGUUUUAACGAUAUUUUUCUUGCCUGAAUCACCGCGGUGGCUUGUAAGUAAAGGGCGGAUGAAUGAGGCGAAAAAGGUUCUGCAAAUGCUCCGAGGAAGGGAAGAUGUCUCAGGUUUGUCAUAUAGUUCAUGAUUUUGAAGAAUCUUUUGUUAGAGCUUGCUGUUUGUUGAAUGUGAACUUUGUAUAUUUUACUGGUUGACUGAUCUUUUGGUAAUUUCAAAUAAGAUUUUAUGGUUAUGAGCUUGGUUAUUAUGUUACAUGGAUGUAAAUUUCUGCAGGUAUUCUCAUGAUAUUUAAUCUAACACGUAAUCGUUGAAUUUUUGUUUAUUUACAGGAGAAUUGGCUCUUCUUGUAGAAGGUUUAGGCAUCAGCAAGGACACAACAAUCGAGGAGUACAUAAUUGGCCCUGCUACCGAUUUGCAUGCUGACCAGGACCCAGCUGCUGAAAAGGACAAGAUCAAGCUAUAUGAACCUGAAGAGGGUCUCUACUGGGUUGCUCAGCCUGUGGGUCAAAGCACCCUCGGAAGUGCCGUGGGCCUCGCAUCCCGUCACGGAAGUAUUAUAGAUCAAAUAAAGGACCCCAUCGUCACUCUGUUCGAGAGUGUCCACGAAAAGCUCCCUGAUAUGGGAAGCACAGGAAGUAUGACCUUUCCUAAUUUUGGUAGCAUGUUUAGUAUAGCAGAGCCGCUGCCGAAAACAGAGCAUUCGGAUGAGGAACAUGAGCAUGAAGAGUAUUCCUCGGAAUCUGAAGGGCGUAAUUCUGAUGUAGAUCUUGAAGCCCCACUGAUUUCUCACCGAAACGGUAGCACUUUAAGUGUAAGAGGGCAUAGUAGCCUCUUGCAAGCAAAUGAUGGGGAGGUAGUAAAUAGCACGGGAAUAGGUGGUGGGUGGCAACUAGCUUGGAAAUGGUCGGAAAGAGAGAAUGAAAAAGGAGAAAUUGAAGGGGAGUUCAAGAGAAUCUACUUGCAUCAGGAGGGCCCAGCUCCGUCACAGAGAGGUUCCGUUGUUUCACUUACGGGAACUGUGGUUCCUGAAAACGCUGAUUAUAUACAUGCUGCGGCAUUGGUUAGCCAGUCUGCAUUGUUUACCAGGGAGCUAAUGAAUCAGCACCUGGCGGGGCCCGCGAUGGUUCACCCCUCCAAGACUGAUAGUACUGGCCCUAGAUGGAGAGAUCUUUGUGAACCAGCGGUUAAGCGUGCAUUGCUUGCUGGUGUUGGUAUCCAAAUUCUCCAGCAGGUACAGUUGGUGAUUAAUGCUUUGUUAUGGUUGAUGAGUUUGGUGAAUCUCUUGCCCAUGUAAUUUUUAAUGUGCGCAACUUAGUUUAUCUUCUUUUUCUUUUUCUUCUCUCAUUGAGAUAAUCUAUCUGGUUCUUCUUUUCUUUUUUUUUUUCUUUCCAGUCUACACCAAGCUGAGAGAUGAACUUCCUAUCCUAUUCUUGAUAGCUACCUUCUGUAGUACACAUUAUUAGAAUUCUGAUAAGUUCAUUUUAUUUUUUCCUACGUCCGUUCUGUAUUUCAAAAUAUUUCUCAAGUAAAGAUAGGUAAUUUAAUGAUUUAGUGCUUUAGAUGUCAAAGUGGCUUUCUGAUUUCUCGUAAGAUCUAAAUUGCAACCACAUAUCUGCUGAAGUCAGUGUUCUAAUUUCUGAUAAAGAGAGUAAAGCUCUUUUGUGAUCUCCUAGGCAUAUUUUUUGUAAUUUUAGAAAAAGUUAGGGACAUGGACAGUGAAUUUUGCAAAAUAUCAUAAUCUACUUAGCAUUUUUGCACAUAGAAUUGCGGCAAUAAAAGGUCAAUAUGGUUUAAUAUUGCUUCUCUAUUUGAAGUGCAAGACCUGUAUAUCAGUUUGCCACUUGCCGAUCAAACUAUUGAUAGUAUAUUUUUCUCCACUUUUCUACUUCACCCAAAACUGUUGCUGACUUUGUUUUUCUUUGCUUUUUUUUUUUCGCCCCUUGUAGUUCUCAGGCAUCAACGGCGUUCUGUACUACACCCCUCAAAUCCUUGAGCAAGCUGGUGUGGGAGUUCUUCUUGCGAACAUGGGACUUAGUUCCGAUUCAGCAUCGAUACUCAUCAGCGGUCUCACUACCUUGCUGAUGCUCCCCUGUAUCUGUGUUGCAAUGCGGCUUAUGGAUGUAUCUGGGAGAAAGUCAGUUGCCUUCAAAAACUAUAUUUCCAUAAUCCCAUUUCUUUAAUCUUGCUGUACAAGUUGUAGAUAGCAGGCUUUUAUUGGCAUUUGUAGAAUAAUAAGAGACAGAGAUGAGAUUUACUAGGAACAAAUAUGCAGGAUUGGAUUGGAUUGGCAUUUAUGUAGUAUAGGAGCAUUUAACUUAUCUAUACAAAGAGUAUCAGUAGAGAAAGUUAAUUUGGGACAGAGAUUUGUGCACUUGGCUUUGUAGGAAAUAUAUCCAUGUUCCAACACUGUGUUGAUGUCUAUUUCUGAAAGAGAACCAAUAAGAGAUAGUGGUGAUGAUCUAAUAGAAGCUAAAUACACAGGAUUGCAUUGGAUUGACCUUCACAGAUGAUAGGAUAUCUAUCUUUGUAUAUAGAAACAUUUAUUACACAUUAUAUAGGUCGCAAAUCUCAAUAUUGUAAAAAACAUGGCUGUGUAGGAACCGUCCAUGUUGUUAAAACUCUGCAUCUGUUUUACUUAUUUAUGUAUGCUAGUUGUAUAUGUGGACUGAAUGCAUAAUUUUCUUCUAGAUAGUAUUUUAACAGCAGCAAACCAUUUUUAUCUCUUACUGUUUCGUUAACGAAAAACGACAAAUUUGCAUUGUUUUAUAACUCUGUUCUUCUCACUUUCCACUCAUGCAGGAGUCUUCUGGUGUACACGAUCCCGGUCUUAAUUGCAUCGCUCUUCUUUUUGGUUCUCUCCACGACGAUAAAUUUCGGCACUCUGGUCAAUGCAUCAAUCUCCACUGUAAGUGUGACCCUUUACAUCUGCUGCUUCGUCAUGGGCUUCGGGCCCAUACCCAACAUCUUCUGCUCCGAGAUCUUCCCCACGAGGGUCCGCGGCCUUUGUAUAGCCAUUUGCUCCCUCACCUUCUGGUUCGGAGAUAUCGUCGUUACGUACACCCUUCCCGUAAUGCUGAAGAGUGUAGGGCUCGCUGCGGUGUUCGGAUUCUUUGGGGUCGUUUGUUGCGUCGCUUUGGCCUUUGUUAUUAUUUUCGUGCCUGAAACUAAGGGUUUUCCCUUGGAGGUCAUUAUUGAGUUUUUCAAUGUUGGCGCCAAGAUGCAUUAAACUUGCGAAAGGAUCGAAACGAAAGAUCGAAAACGCGGUGGAAUCAGAUUGUGGACCAAUUGUACAGUGGUCACCUGCCGAUUCUUUUGUUACGUUUGGGAAACUGAUUUUUCCGUCACACCGGUAUAGUGAUAUUGAGAAGGAAAGUGAUUGAUUUAUAUUGUGUAAAUGAUCUUCAUGGGAGAAAUGGAAUUGAGUGUGGGGCUUUGUAAUAAACUUUUCUUUUUUUCUUUUCUUUUUUGCUUGUGUUUACAUAUAUACAAGGAAACACUUUUCAUACAUAUAUAUAUUAUUACAUUAUUCUUUGCCAAAGAGAAGCAAGGUGAUCUUUUUAUUCUUAGUUAUGGGAGAAGUCUAUAACUAGAGCUCAGAGUAUGGUGCUUAGGAUUUUAAAUUAAAUAAUAAAUAAUAGAAACUGAUAACAAACCAAUACCUAUCAUUGCCUGAGUGCAUAUAUGUUGAAUAUAAUUGUUAAAACACCGUUCCUCUCUGUAGCUUAAGCUUCCGAGAAUUAUUGUUGUUUUAUAUAAUUUAACAUGAUAUCUGAGUAGAAGGUCACGUUGUUUAAUUUUUUCCUAUUUAAUUAUUAAAUACAUCAUUUUUUAACCGUUUAAGUUUUUGAAGAAUAAUAAUUAUUCUGUAUUAAUGUAACAAUAUAUUGUGACUAAAGUGUUUAGAAUUUUAAAUUAAAUAACAGAUAGUGUUGGAAGUGUUUGGGGUUUUAAAUUUUGGACAGCUAUUUUUUCUUUUAACUUAAAUAACAAAUAGUGGCGGGACCAUGUCGAGGCUCAACCUACAACGUGUACUUUGAUUUGAAUGAGUGGGAUUCCCUUUUUUUUUAUUUUUCUUUUUUUUCUCUUUUCCCUAAUUGAAUGUUGCGUAAGCUUGGCAAAAUUUGAACUAAACACUUCUUACUCCCUUAAUAUAUAUAUAUAUAUAUAUAUAGAGAGAGAGAGAGAGAGAGUUGAGCUGGAAUGCUAUCGGUAGCAAACGGUCUUCGUUGCCAUCUAUUUGUUUUCGAUGAUGGAGCUUCUAAAUCGAUGAUCGGUACCGUUAAAUAUGAUCUAUACCACUUAAAGUGUCUAAAAAUCAAAUUUCAAAUCUUUUCGACACCAUUAGCUUAAUGAUCAAAGGGUUUCAAACUUUGUAAAUUUAAUGGUCGAUAUAAGACAUUUUUUCGUUUAACGGUGUAAAGAUAUCCAAAUCAAUUGAAUUUUGGUUAGAAAAUUCUUUAAACUAUUUAGAAAAAGAUCUAUACUUCCGAUCUUGAUUACAAGACUUCUAUCAUCACUUUUUAAAGAAUUUUCAUUUUCAGCCGCUCAUUUUUGUGUCCACUUGAUGAACAAGUGAACAAUAUAAAAAAAAACAUAAAAUUUGGUUUCUACAUACUUCAAAUGGUAUAGAUCAUGUUCAACGGUACUGAUCGCCGAUUUGAAGCCUCCAUCAUCGAAAACAAAUGGAUGGUAACGGAGUCCGUUUGCUACCGAUAGUAUUCCAGCUCAACUCUCUCUCUCUCUCUCUCUCUCUCUCUCUCUCUCUCUCUCUAUAUAUAUAUAUAUCUCUCUCUCUAUAUAUAUAUAUAUAUAUAUAUAUUCCUUAUAAUUUUAAAGUGCUGUCACUAACAAAAUUAUAAGCAAGAACUAGAGGAUUCAUUGCAUAUGGUAUACUCUAACUAGUUCAAAUCUAAGUUAAAAAAAAGGUCAAGUAGAGACAAAAAGAUUGGCUAUGAAUUAAAGAGAAUGAGACAAAGAUACCUUUAUUAAAAGAUCGGCUACAAAUUAAAGGGAAAUAAACAAAUUUAUCCCAUUUUCCUCCACCUAGGUGGAGUGUGUGCCGACAACGCUCAUAAGCAGCAAGAUUCUAUUAUCUAUUAUUAGAAACUUAAUUUAUUCAUCACUUUUAAUUAAUUAAUGGUUAACUGCUAACUGCUAAGUGGUCAAAUAAGGUUUACAAUAUUUUCUGUAGACCGGUUGCGCACAAAAUUCUUGUACAUCGUCCAAUCUGAUUAACCGUUCGACAAGUAGAAUUAAUCAUUACCAUUGGUGAUUCGAAUAAAGUUUGCGAAUUUGAAACCAGUAAUGCUAUGUAUAAUCAUAGAAGUAGGAAAGUUGAAUCUGUAUGUUUGUGAUGGUAUCCUUUGGUUCCAUUAGUUGUUAGAAAUAAGUUAUCUAGUGAUGAAUUUCUGCGUGUGACAUUUUUUUUUUAUUUUUUAUUUUUCUUGUGAUUGGAAGAUAGAAGUGUGAGUUUUGCUCUUUAGAAAAUAUUGAUAUCUUGAUUUGGUAGAACAGCAUGUUUCGCUUUCGAAGUGUUUUAUCUCACUUCGAAAAAUAAUUUAAAAGCUGAAUAUGACAUGUUAUUAUACAUAUUUGAUUUUACCCGUCAUCUAUCAAAUAUUACAAAUAUUUUAAGCAAAUCAAAAGAACAUGCUGAACAAGACAUCCAAACAUAACAUCAAAAUUUUUUAUAUAAGCCAUAAAACAGCGGAUUUCGCGCAUCAUUUAAAACAACUAAUCACUUCGCCCUGCAUUUCACUUCUAUUUACUCUUUUAAUAUGGGAGAUAAAUCAUCAUGGACAAAAAUUUUCUGUGCGCUCAGUCUAGGAGGUGUGUACCCACCCACAUUAGGUAGGAAAUAAGCUUGCUAGGUGGGAGAUUUAAAACUCCAAUUAUCCCACUAUAUUUUGCUCAUCAUAUUCAAGCAUAUCUCAACUGCCCACUUAGAACCAUUAAAAUAUAAAUUUUGAUAAACUAUCAUAUGCUAGGCUAGCUAAAAACUCUUCUGUCAAGAAAACCUUAGGUUAGAUGAAACACCUGCUCAGUGGCUUAACAAUGAUUGCCAUCUUGAAUCAUGAGCAAUUACAUAAAUAAGGAGUUUACUUUUCUUUGUUUUUUGGGCUCAAUUACAUAAAUAAGUAGUAUUUUCAUUUGUUAUAUUAAUUUUUUUUUUUAAUUCAAAGAUACCACUGCACAUUAGUUCAUUUUUAUUUGGCUUAAUUGCACCACAUAAUAGAAUCUACAUUUUUUUAUUAAUCUCUAUAUUGCAUCAAUUUAUUUUUAUUUGCUUUGUUUGCAGGUCUAUAUUCACAGUACUGUUAACAAAUUUAUUAUUAAACUAAACUCUAUUAAGAAGCACCGAAUCGGUAGAAGGCAAAACUUCGUUAACUCUAUUGUUAAUUUCCACGUCAAUACAAGAUCUAGUACCAAAUCUAGCUACGUGGCUAUUAUGAUUUAUUUACACCUGAGUGUACAUCUUACACCUUAUUUAUUCAUUAGUCAAUUGUUUUCCACUAGUCUUAUUGAUCUUUUCUAUUAUUAAUAAUAAUUUUAAAAAAUAUAUAAAUUCUUGGAUAGGUUGGUGUCAGAUAUCUGGGUGGCUAAUAUGAUUAAUUUGUUUAGUUACACAUCCAAGAACUUAGUGUAAAUUUUUUACCUUAUCUACUUAAAAGUUAAUAUAUUUACACUAAUCUUGUCAAUCUUUCAUUUUAUUAUUAAUAAUUUUAAAACCAUUUAAAUUCUUGGAUAGGUUAGUGUAAGAUACAUACCACAUAUUUUGGAUUACAAGGUAGCAUUUCUUUAGCUGUUAUGCUGGCAUUUUUAUUACAAGUGUAUCAGAGUUGAAAUGUUUGCUAGUGUAAGAGAGUUCAAGCCUAGAGGACUGCAAGUAAAUACUUUUAUAUUUGAGAUUCCAAAUUCAAAUUUUAGUUGUCUAAUAUUUUCAGUUAAGUUUUUUUCAAAAAAAAAAAGAAAAAAAGAAGAAACGAAUAGCAUGGCAUAUUUCUCUUUAUAUAUAUAUAUAUAUAUACUUGCUUAAGUUUUGGAAGUCAAAUAUCUCAAUUUGAGAUCAAAGAACAAAGCAAAACUUACCAAAAUAUUUAAAAAGCUUACCAAGCAAAUCUCAUGUACACAGUAAGCAGCAAAAAAACAAAAGGUUUUGGUGGUGUUUCUGCAGAACUUGAGUGUAUUAGCACAAUCCAUUCUUCUGUAAGCAUAGCAAGAUCAAAAUUUACUAAGGUUUCAUUUGAAAUUAUUGUUGAGCGAUUGCAAUACGUGCGGCAAAACUAUACAAUAAAAGAAUACAUAUUUGUUAAUAUACAUAAUUUCACCUUUUGUAUAUCAGAAUCAGAUGGUGACGAUAUAUUUUUUAUAAUUUUAUAAAAAAGUAAAAGUACAUCUCUAUUUACUUUUCUCCAAAUUUGUUUUGUAUGAUGAUAUUGGAUGAGCAGCAGUACCAAUCAUACCCUAAAUCAAAAAAGCUGAAACUUCAGUUUUUUUUUUUUUUUUUUUUUUUUUUUUUUUUUUUUGCCCCUCGAAACAGGCCGGUAUCCUGAAAUAAAAUAACAGUUUUGGAAACUUCUCAUUUGUCGUUUCCUCCCAUUUUUAAACCACAAAUUAUAACUUAAAAAAUUACUCCAACUUCAAUCCCAGAGAGAGAGAGAGAGAGAGAGAGAGAGAGAGAGAGAUACUAAGUGUGAGGGAGAGAGGAAAUUUGACAGCAACCACCGUGAGUUGCAGAAACUCUUUGUAAAAGCAGUGAAACACAUUACUGAACGUGACCCAUCCCAACGCACCAAACUUGUUCGACGUUUUGUCUCAACAAACAAACCUCUUUCCAUAAAAGAAAUGGCAAAAAUAGAAGCAAAUAAAUAUUACAUUUUCUUAACCGAAAAAGGAGAGGCGGAAUUUAUGUAUAGAUUUACGGAGAAGGGGAGAAGGGGUUUUAGGGCAAGAACCUACAAUCCCCGCGCUCCUCCUCCGCCGCCGCCGCCGGCGAGGCGGCGGAGGCGUCGACGGCGAGGGGGGCGGCGCCGCACCUACGGCAGGGGGCGGGGACGACGAGGAGGCGGCGGCAGGAGGGGCAGGAGGAGUGGACGCCGAGCCACGUGUCGACGCAGGCGACGUGGAACCUGUGCCCGCACUGCGGCAGGAUGCGGAUCUCCUCGCCCUCCGCGAACUCCGCGAGGCAAAUCGGGCACUCCGCCGCCACCCUCCCCGCCGACGCCGACGCGGCGGAGGAGGAGGAGACGAAGAGCACGGUGGGGAGGGAGCGCAGGGCCCUCUUCCUGAGGCCCUUGGUGGGGGGCGGCGCCGCCGACGACGCGGCGGAGGGGAGGGCGCGGCGGAGCCAGGCGCAGCGCGCGACGAGCGCGAGGCCGAUGACGCAGAUCAGGGCGCAGAGCAGCGCCGCGAGGAUGACCACCACGUCGGAGUCGAUGGCCACCGGCGGCGGCGGCGGCGCCGCCGGGAAGGGGUCGGAUGAGGAGUGGAGGAGCCUCCUCGGCGAGAGCAUUGUCGCAUUCGUAGCGAGCGAGAGAGAGAGAGAGAGAGAGAGAGAGAGGGUUUGGGGAUUUUCAUGGGGUUAGCAUUUCUCUAUAUAUAAAUCGGAAAAAAUACAAAAAGGUAAUGGAACGAAAAAAUGGAUAUUAUGCAAUAUAGUAUAACGAUAUCAUUUUAUUAUAAAAAUUAUAUGAUAUUGUUUCUAAAUGAAUCUUUAUUAUUAUUACCUUAUAAGGUACAAUAAUAAAAUUAAUUUAGGAUAUUAUGCGACGAUCGCAAAAUAGGUAUUUAUUUAGCCGAUAAGAUCAGCUUGUUUCGAAUUCCGCUCUAUUUGAGAGUAAUAGAGGAGUGUUAUGACCUACUAGUAUUUUCCAUAUAAGGAGAAAAAAAAAAUACAACCUUAUUUUUUUCUAGAGAAAUUUAAUCAAAUAUGGAAUCACUGUAUGGACCCCUCAUUAAGUAUAUUAUCUAUCUAUCUAUUAACCUACAUGAAUUCCUAAUAUUUUUGCCACGUGGCAAGUUUUCUUGCAACCUCACUUUCUAUUCAAUGACGUUGGCUUUUUCUCUCUCUCUAGCCCUCUCUAUUCAAUGAUCUCUGAUCAAUGUACUUUUUAAUUUAUACGUUACUUAUUUUUCUCUUCAAUAUUAGUCAUUUAUUCUCCCUCAAAUUUUUUUUCAACGUCAAACCCUUCACCUCUCCAAGUCCUUUAAAACCACAAGAAUUAAUUAAUUCAAAAUGCAACAUUUAAUUAUAUACACCAUAUUCCACCAAUGAGUGAGCUUUGUAAUUCUAAUUCACUCCCCACCUCUAUUAAUCCCCCCUCUUUUGUAUGGCCUGUUAUUUUUCAUGCAAAAAAGAACAUUAUUAUUUAAUCUCGCACCCCACAUUCAUCUAGCUCUCUCUCUCUCGUUAAUAAUUAUAACACAAGACGAGAAUAAAAAUAUGAGUAAACUAAUGCGGGCCCACAACUUGGGCGUGCUUUGGGUUUAGCAGCGUGAUUUGGACUCGAGUGAAUUUCGAUCAUUUUAGUAGGUAACUGCAUGUGCGCAGAUUCUCAUGGUGAGUCACAAAGCUUAGCGAUGGGACCCAACUUUAUCUUCUCUGAUGGGCUGAAUCAUUUUCAAUGUUUGAUAUUUACAAAGAGGCUCCAAUUGAUUAAGUAAAUUCUUUACAUUCUCUCACGUUAUCAUAUCAGAUAUGGGACUAUUAAAGCGACACACGUGACUUCUUAAGACCUCCGUAUAAAACGCACCCAAAGCAUUAUACGUACCCAAAGCAUUACUCCGUCGAAGUAUCAUAAAAUGGAAGCUCUCUAAAUAACAAGCAAAGUGUAUUCUUUUUUAUCCUGUGAGGUUAAGUGAAAAGAGGAAACUUAAGAACAUUUUAAAUGACGCACGGAAAAUGUUGGGAAAGGAUAGAUAGUGAAUUAAAAGAAUGGCACAAGUUUUUGCAUUAUGUAUUUAUUUUCCAUUGGCACUUGUGAUAGAUAUUAUAUUAUGUGGUUGUGUUAUUACACCCCAUUCGAGGGAGUGUUUAACUUCUACAUGCUUUUCACAUGCAACCUAACAUAAAUGAGCUUGCUUGAGAUAUAUAAAUUAAACUAAAUCAUCUCUAUAUUUAUUUUUGGAAAAAAAAAAAAAAAGAUCCUCCACCAUCAAAUUCAUAGUUCUUUCUCUUGAAUCUGCUUUGGAGCCGCAAUCUCAACAGGGAAAUAAUUACUAAUGUAUAAGCGAACAGCGCACACUGUUUUAACAGCACAAACUCCUAGUCACAGUUGUUGCUUCAUCUAUCCAAUUAAGUCAUGAACAUGGCCAAGAAAAUAUCCCCCAAAGUUUCCUCUUAAUGAGAACAUAACUAACCAUAGACAAACUACUUGAAAAAGUAUGUGAAAGAUUCUCCCGCUACAUCUAAAAUGGAUUGACUAUGAAAGAUUUGACUCUAAACCACAUAACUACUGCAUCAAACACACCACAAAGAUUAGGAUAAGGGCUGAGAGCCACUUCAAUCUACAUCUACAUCAACACAGAGAUCGACCAAUCGGCGCGUCGCAAGUGGCCUUUCCAAGGCUAACUUUUUAUAAAAUGGAGGUGGAAAGGGGCAAGCAAAAGAAGCACUCAUAUUGUGGGCAUGCCCUCUCUUUCCUUUUCUCUCUCUCUCUCUCUCUCUCUCUCUCUCUCUCUCAUGAACUAUGAUAACUGUGAUAACCUAACUAGGGGCCAAAACCCUUCAUAUCCAUUCUUUUCUAGAGACCCUGUUCUCUUUGAUUCAAUCAUGUUUCUCACUACACUUCUUUUCCAUAUCCCAAUAAAAAGGUAAACAGUUUACAGGCCAGCACAUCAACCAUUCUUGCUAUCCAUCCCUGUAGGAUAAGAUAUUUUCUCCAAUCUAAAGAGAGGAGGUAUGGGUUCUAGCAAUAAACAUGUUAUCACUAUGGCCUGUUCUUUUUGUGAGCAAGGAAAAUUGACAUCUAGCGAAAGCUAUAUUUCCAAAUAUGUUAAACCAUAUCAAGCUUAACAAAUAUUAUACCUGAAGAUGCUUUGAUGGAGCCAUUCCAGCAAAUGAAACUGUGAAGACAGAUAAAGUUUAAGGAGAAAAAUAAGAGUUACCAAGUUCCUGUCCACAUAUUUGUCCAUAUGAAACUUAAUUUCACUGAAAAAUUGAGCAGUGGAACAACAAAUGAUUAGCUGAAGGUAUCUUGAAUAAAAAUUCACCUUAAUAUGACCGGCAUGAUAUAUAGUGAAUGCAGGAAAAACAAAAAAAAAGGGGGAUUGGCAAUCCUUUUAAAUGUCACUCUUGGCAAAAUUAUGAUCACGAAGGAUCAUAAAUCAUAUCUUACAUUCCACUUGCCAUUCAUGCAAGUGUUGAGGGUCCAGUUAUUUUCCCUGAUUUGGAAAUAUGGUACCUGCAUUCAGGGGAAAAAACUCACCAUAUUAAGAAACACACAAAUUUGUAUAGUACUCUCAGAGAUUUAAAUAAACAGACAAGUGCACACAUGAGAGUGUGUGUGUGUUGUAUGUCUGUGCACGUGUAUGCAAGCAUGUGUGGGUGUGCGUACAUGUGCUAGCAUAUAUGUUCGUGUUAUAAUGACCUCAUGUACAUUGAUUGAAGUACCAUUGUAGUUGGUUAAAGCCAAACAAAAGGGAAAAUAUGGGGACAUGCCAAUACAUUGGUUCUAAUAUUCACCACUAAUUGAGGGCAAUAUUCACCACUAUGCAUUAAUGCAUAGCAAGACAAGCUCACAUCUUCGCUAAAAAGAUCACAAACAUGUAAUAGGAAAUUUGCCAUUUGUGUGAAUUUUACUGGAUAUCAUUACAACUCUGUUUUUUUUUUCUUUUUCUUUGUGUGUGUAUGUGUGUGUGCGCGCGCACAGAGAGCCACAUACCUUGUCAAAUAUAUUGUAGCCCAACUUAAUUCUCACAUCUUGGUCCUUUUGGAUAUUGAAUAUGCUCCAUGCCAAUUCAAUCGCACUGAUUUUCUUCAGCUAUAUGAAUUUAGUAUGGAUUAUUAAUGACCAAGUAUAGCAUUAUAUUGUUUCAACAGAAUAAAUGGCAAGAAGGUAUAAUUCAUAACAUCAAAAGAUGUUGACAGAGCACAUGUGACAAAGAUGGAGUCUAGUUUUCUUUUUCUCCUUGAUGAAAGAAAAUUUUAGGCCUGAGUAGGUUAUUUGGAAAUCACUUUGUAAGAGAUCGCAUAGAACAAUGAAAGGUGGAAGCACAUGAAUAUAACUCCUCAUGCAAUAAUGUGUUGAUCCUGUAAGACAGCUUUAUUUGUGACUGGACCACCUUCUUUUUAUGGGACAGCAAAAUAGAGAAGGUACACCACUCCAUGUACAGUCACCUAUAAUGCUAUACUAGAAAGAAAUAAAAGCAUUACAAGAUGUCAAAAUGGAUUAGAAAGCUUGGUGGUCCUUACCCUGGAGUAUAAAUUUAUAGAAAUAAUUUAGUAAAGACUAGGCAAACAUGGGCCCAAAUCAGUGUAAAUUACUCAAGAUAACAUAAUUUCUGCUCUCAGAAAUGCACUUCAAUGCAAGAAUCACCAUCUAAAACAAUCCUACGCUUAAACAACCUAAGGUUAUGUAAUACACUUCAAAUGAAGAAAAUCUGAGGACUUACAGCUACAGCUGGAUCUGAAAAGAUGAGUUAUUGAACAGUAUACAAUAUGCUCCCACGACAAAAGGUGCUGAGGGAAGGAUGAUAAAUAAGAAGUCUCAUAUUUUCUAUGUGACUCAUCAAGUGUAAGAAAGCUUCUUUUUUUUUUUGAUUAAACAGGGAUAUAUCCUAUUUUAGAGUAGUAAGAAAGCUUUAUAACAUUUGAUUUAGAGAAUACGGGCAAAAGCUUUAUAACAUUUGAUUUAGAGAAUACAGGCAAAGAAACUCAGCCUUUAGGGGAGAUUGUAUGGUUGAGAGAAGGAAUGGUUAAAGGUGCGUCACAAAGCAGGUUCUUAAUGUUUAUAGCUAAUGUUUUCCAGACUUAGUAGGAUAUAUUAGGACUCCAAUUAGACAGAGGCAGUCCAAACACAACAGGGAUGCACGAUAUCCAAUUAAGGAAUAAGAAUUAGAGAAAAUACAACGUCAUUGUAGAAAUAAGAAGAAAAUAUAAAAUAAUUAAACAGGUGAAAAGCUCGACGGAAUGACAAAAAAUGAAACCUCAAUUGAAAGCAAUCUGCUUAAUCAACAAAUUCACCUGUCUGAAUUCUUUAUCUGUUAUCAGCCUCCCUUUGACAUUGAUUCCAACUAGACCACUAGAUGUGAUCGGGAAUGCCUUCUUUCCUCGGAAGUUGUAGGUCAAGUCAUCAGUUUUAUCAAGCUGAACCCCAACACCAACGUUUGCCAACAACUGCAUAGAUGGUAUAACCCACUUUUAGCAUAUACACACCGCCAAUUGAUAGUGCUCCGGAAACAAGAACGUGAUGCACCUCUAAAAUGCAAUGUGAAUACAAAGCUCACCGCAGGAAAAAAUUGUCUAACGAUCAGAGCAAGACAGCUUGGAGCCCCAAUGCUAGUAUCUAUUUCUCCAUGAGCCUGUCACACUACACCAUGAGUCCUGUUCUAAAUGUUUGCUGAUAAUAUUACGGAUACCUCAAAAAUUAAAUAUAAAACAAAGAAAAAGAUAAUACAUGCGCAUUAAAAUGCGGAUUGAAAUAAGAAUAAAAUAUUUAGUAUUUAAUCUUAAUCUUAAUAAAGAAAAACUUCAUCCUAUUUUACAAGAACAGCCACCACAUUUUCCAAAUUACGCAUACGAGGAGAGUGAUAGAAGCAAGAUAACGGUCUAUCUGAUACUGCACCAUAUUGAAAUGGACAAAAUUAAGAAACAGACUAAUUUUUUGAGACAAGAUGAUGAGGUAUAGAGGUAUUAAAAAGUUAUUUGAUUGCUUUAAGGGAUUAACAAGCAAGAAAAACCCAUCUUCUCAACCAUGCAUUCUCAUUCUAAAUUUAAUCAAGAAUCCCAAGAAAUGUGAAAAAGAUCGAAACCCGAAAAAGAAUUGAAACAACUUUUUUAUGCUAAGAAUGGUGUUUUAUUCAAAUAUACAUCCUCCUCACGUCUAUACGCUAGACUUUUUCAUAAACCCAAGAUGCAAGCUUGAAUUGAAUAGGAGAAUUAAUGAAAAUAGGAGCUUACAAAUGCAUGAAAACAUGACCUACUGCUCCAAUACCGCAUGAACCAACUGCUUUUCUCAAAUAACUUAGGUGUAGUUUGGUACUGCAUUUCCGAAAGCACCCAAUUUUACACUUUGGAAGGUUCAAAAAAAAAUCAAAAGUGAUUCCAAUAUUCCUUCCACGCUACAAAAUUCCAAUGGCAACUGCCACUAGAGAAGCCUAUCGCUUAAAGCACAAUAUCGGGUGCUUUUGGAAACAUAGUCCCAAACUAGAGCUCUCUUUGGGAUUGCGGAAAGAUUGCGGCACAGGUGGUGAGAAAGUACGGUAGGAAAAAUACUUUGUUUGUUUCCGUACGCAAUAUCACAUUCUACAUAUCGCAAUAAAUCGGGUAUAAUAUAUUUUCUUUUGUCCCAUCAGAGAACGAAAAAGGACGAAAAAGGAUAUUCUAUAUGUUUUCGCCCCAACUCCAUUUUGCCACCUCAAUACCAAAUGGAUCCUUAAGCUACUAGGAAAUGGUUUUAAACGUUUAUAGUAAACACAAGAAGCCUCAUUAUAUCCCAACUGUACAAAAUAGAUAUCAAGAUCCUUCUUUUAAAAAAAAAUUUGAUAUAACUCUAAAGAUCGAGUCAUGUUGUUGAAUGGCACAUAAAACAUGGACACGCAGAUUUGUAAAUCGAGAACACUGACAUUAAGGAAAAGAAACCAUUUCGAUCAAUUAGGCGAAAUUAUUGAAAUGGGAGAAGCAAACGAAACCUGUAGUAGGGUUUUGGGGCCCAAUUGGAGCUUCUCCUUCGCGUGGAUCCUUAGGGUUUUGGAAUCACCCCCUAGUCGGAGAGAGGUCUCCAUUUCCUUGUGGGGGAGAGAGAGAAAGAGAGAGAGAGAGAGAGAGAGAGAGAGAGAGAAGAAACCCUAGAAAGGGUUUUAUUCUCCCGCCCUUGCUGCGUAUUAAUUUACUACUUAGAAGCGCGCGCUCGAACAUGCUCUUCGGAGACGAUGGGAUGGAAUUAAUAAAUUUUGGAAAAAAAGAAAUUAGGUUAAAAAAACGGUGUUUUUUUGUUUCCACUCACCAAAACUUUUAAAUUUGAAAAUACAAUCUUUCAAACUAUUUAUUACAACUGUUUGUUAUAUACAAAAUUAUUUAUAAUUUUUUUUGUAAAAUCGUGAAUAAUUUAUCGUUCUUACAAUAAAAAAAAUUAUAAAACGGUGAAUUAUUUAUCAUUUUUUUAAAAAAUAAAUAUUAAUGGUAAAAAGUAAAAUUAAAUCCUUAAAUAAAUUUUGCAGAGGUUAGACCACCAAAUUUAAAAAUUUUGAAGAUCAUUUGUAAAAAAAAAGGCCCUAAAAUGUUGUACUGAUACUCCCUUAACUAUUAGCAAUUUCGAAAUUAGCCCCCUCAGUUGUACUUUUCCUUUUAUACCUUCUUAAUUUUUAAUCUUCCGGAACUAAGUUACUUUGCCCCGUUUCAAAACAAAUUUAAUAGAAUAGCUAAUAUAAUUAUUAAAUUGAACAAAUUUUAAGCUUAACUAGUUAGAAUAGCCCCGUUUCAUAACAAAAUUCAGAAAAGUUUACCUUCUAUUUCUGCAGCUAGUAACAAAUACAGGCAAGUAGCUGAUCAAAAGCAUAGAGGCUUAAGUGUACAUCGAAAUUCGGCAUAAAAUCGAUACAUUAUCAUUGAUUUGUUCUUGAAUGUAUGUGGGCUUAAGUUCAUGGAGAUACUUUUGUAUAUCGGAAUUGCAAAAUGUCAGCAUCUCAGAAAAUGAUAAUGUCAUACUGUCAGUAAAAUUUCAGAUUCAACAAUACCAGGUCAUCCAAUGAAUUCAGUGAAGUGUGAUUGAAACCACCGAAUUCUUCUUGGAAAAAAAUCUAUUGAUGGCAAUCAUUCUCAGAGUAUAACUUGCCGUCAGAAAAUCGGUUUAGAGUUGGCAUAACUAUUUUCGUAACACAUACAUAGUGGUACAGGAACUAUAGAUGAUUUUGUGCUUAUGAAUGUAAAACUACUAACAUGAACUCGAGUUUCGUAUAUGAAUGCUCUUUCGAUAUAUUUUUCAGAGCAUUAUUUCGAUGCUAACUUUCAAUAUCAACCACGACAUUGCUCGUCGGCCUCUGUGCCUGCCUUUGCGUCGACCUUCUCUUUGGUUCUUCUUCCCUCUCGUCGACAAAUGAGAAGAACUUCUUAAUGCUCCGCCCGGAUCUCGAGAGCCCUCCAACAGACGGCUCGGAAUCGUCAGGAGGCGUGUGGCGGAUGAACCGGCGCAGCAUGAUAAAGAAGUGAAUGGCGAGCGCGACAAAGCAUGCAACCCCGCAGAUGAGGAACAGGCCCCAGAAGCUGCUGAGGUGCAGACGCUCCGAAUCGAUCUCGUUGGUCUCUGAUCUGCACACCUCGUUGGUCAGCCACUUGUCGUGGAUCCUCUGGAGGUCGCCGUUCUCGGAGAGUCUCAGGAUGGCGGUCGACAUGUCCACGGCUAGAGGCGAGUCUCUUGGGAACACCUAAAAUGAAAAUAGUUAGUCCCGAUACUGAUUUUCGCUCAGACACUUAAGUUCCUAGACUUUCUUAUAUAUGAAAUUGAGUUCUUGACUAUGAAAAUAGAAAAAAAGUUCUAAAUUUUCUUGCAAAGUUAGAUGUUAUAUCAAAGAAAAAAGUUGAGGUACAAUGGCAAGAACAACAAUUGGGAUAUAUCGAAAAAUAAAGGGAAACAAAAAAAGAGGCUUAGAACCUAGGAUGGCACUUACAAAUCCCCAGCCACUUUUGGUGAAUUCAGAACCAAUGAUGGAAAACCGGCAUUCCUUUGCCAGAAAUAGCUCAAUAUAAGGCCGUUCGUCCACCACAGCAGCGACACCUCCAUUUUCUGGGCCCAAUUCGAGGGCAUUUGCGUACUCUUGUGGGGAGCCAAGAGGUUUGAGCCUCGACCUCGAAAUUCCGAGCUCCUCCACCAUAUAAUUUUCAGCAAAAGAACCCACUUGAAACCCGAUAGGUUCGUCGCCAGCUAUCAAGCUGUAGAUUCCUUUUAUAGGAGAAGAGAGUUGUUGCACCGUGAGGAUCGAUGUCAAGCUAGCUGUGUAGCUAGACUGAAUGAUCAGAACCACGAAGAGCCAUAUUAGCAGCACUGCGCGCCCUAACGUGCUUACGGUGUUCUCUCCUGAGAUAAGAAACAAUAGUGAUCGCGAAGAAAAUCAUUUAACUAUUGACUUGAUGAAAAUAGUUUAAGAGAUGAUUUAGCACGCUUACUAUGUGCGAAAAAUAGAGUUGAGAAGCUGAACCUGCAGAAGUACACAAUCUGUAAUUAGAACAGUCCGAAAGAUACAUAUGCUCCAAAAAGUCUGAAGAAUCACAAGCAACAAGUUCUUGCAUACAUUACGAGAUACGAUAGUCGUCAGACACUAAGCAGAUACAUGUCAAGGACUUUCUUCUACAUACCUGAUUCGUCCAGAUAACUUUAAAAACUCGAUGUGUCAAGGUUGCAGUAGAUUGUUCUAACUUACCAGAAUAUGGUGACUAGUUGUUUUUUCGGAGGCCCGCGGAAGUCGUCGUUGAUCCUAUGCUCAAGAAUCCAGAUAACUGCUCCCACAAUAAAGAAAGACAGGGCCGUGAUGCACCACAUCCCUAGUUUAAACGGUUGCAGGAAAGCCCACGCAUUUGAGGUACGCUUCUUAACUGGGGCCAAUACCACAAGACCUGAUUCAAUGUAUGGCUGUGUAUAAUCCACGAGUUUCGUCCGGUUUGUAACGAUUGCAAUGUCGCCUACAACAGCAUCAAAUACCUAUAGAAAGCAAAGCCAGAAUAGAUAAAGCUCGAGGAGUCUUAAGUUAUGAAAAAUUGUUGAAUAUGACAUGAAACAGCAUUCUCUGGCGGCUAAAAUCCUACCACGCCUGUGUCCAUUUGACUCAAAUUGCACAUCUUUGAGCAAAUCAGAACACUAGACGCAAGGUGGGACCAUUGGAUAUCAAAACAUUGUUCUCUGUCAACUUAAGCUUUUUGCGAAAGCAAUUGUUUCGACAAAAUAGUCCACAUAUAAAUAGUAUAAAAGGAAGUGGAAUUUAUCUGUUUGAACUUACAUUUAAUGCCACCAUAUUGACAAGUUCAUAGUAAUUUGGAUUUUGGUGUCCAUUCCCAAAAGGUAUGAACUUGUAUGGAACAGCAUACGGCAGCAACGCAACUGCAGAGGUAAACACAUCGAUGCAGUAACCCUUCACCGUGUUUGUGGUCGGAUCUUUAGAGACAAACUCGCGGAAGCCAACUCUAUUUGGAACGCCGAUUCUCAACUCCUUUGCGUUGUAAGGAAAAGACCAUCCUCGGGGCUUUUCGGUUGUUUCCCCUGGCCAAAUCACACUGUGUAGCUGAUUAUUUGCCAAAGAAUGAUUUGAUGGUUUCGAAUAGAGGGUUUCGGGCGGCACAACCGACAACCCAGAAUAGUUGGACCAAUAACCGAUUAUGCGUGACCCACUACCUAUUAUAUUGAUAAUAUCAUAAGCAGGAUGUAUGAGAAAGCCAUCAGAAUCAAACUGAAACUGCCCAGUUACUCCUGUAAAAUUUAUCUUCCGAAUCUCGUCACGAAGAAGAUUCCCUCCAUCAAAUAUGCUCAGUGCUUCAAGAUGUAGAUUGCUACCAUUUGCCUCCUUCAACCUCGUAUCAUUAGAAAACGAGAUCACUCCACCGUCAUCGAAAAAGGCAUCUAGAGCCUUGGCAACUGCCCAUACAGCAUCGUAAGCAUAUAAGCCGUAAGCAUUAAGUCCGAAAACCGCAUUACUGUACUUUUUGGUUAGCAUUUUCCAAUUCGAAACUAAGGCGCUCUUCAUCUUUGUAUCGGCCGUGUGUUGCCGUAAUGUGAGAACUCCUUGCAUAUUGUUCAUUGUUUCAGAAGGGAGGGGCGAAUAAGUAUCGAGAAAACUAGAAAGCCAAUCUGUCGCAAUCCACACAUACCCGUUCCCCAUCAUCUUAAGACGGUUGGCCACAGAGAAAACUAUCUUCCCGAAAGUCGGAUUCGCGUGGAGAACGAUGAUUCGCGACUCCAUCAAUGCAACACUAACUAAUAAAUCAAGAAUGUCACUAGGAGUGGCCACGGGCGAAAAUACAGCUUUAUAAGAGAUUUUGCAGCGCCGCUCUGCGAGUUCAUCGCCUAAUGCGGCUAUACCAUUUCUGCCAUACUCGUCGUCGACGUAGAUAGCGAUUACUUGCCUCCACUGGUAGUAGUCGACCAUCUCAGCUAUCGCAGUCAUUUGGAAAAGAUCAUUUUGAGUGCUUCGAACGAAAAAGGGGAAUUGAAUGGACGAAAGGGUCGGAUCGGUCGCAAAGGAGAGGAGAGGGACAUGGAGCUCAUUUGCAAUGUAUGAAAUGAUAUGAGCAAUGGUGGAACACUGCGGGCCCACGACCGCGACAAUAUCAGUCUCCAUGAACUGAAGAACUGGAAUUAAUAACCCAAUGCAUAAGUAUACUUCGUAAAUCAAAAUUUUUUCCGAGAACAAUUCAUUAACCAAAUUUAGUAUGUUCUCGAAAUUCGAUCUCCAUUUCAAUUUCAUAACAAUUAUGAAGCGGACUAAUUGAAAUUCAGGAUUAAGCUUCAGGGCCUAAAUUUGUAACUAGCCUUUGUUUUGUGUCGAAAUAAAAUACAAUUCAUGAAUAGUAAGUUACUUUAACAAGAAGAUAGAAGAUAGAUAACCAAGGGAAACUAUACCUUCAAUGGUGCCAAGGAACCCAUCACAAUUUGUGUCACUCUUCGUGACGACGAGCUUCGAUCCUUUGAGAACACUGGGAUCGGAGUUCACAUCGUCCACGGCGGCAUCGAUGGCGACGUUCAUGACACGCCCAAUUGUCGAGUUGAAUGCGAAUACAGCUCCAAUGUUCACUAUAGAAGGCCUAGAAGAAAUAUUUCUACAUAAUGCAGUAGAAAAUAGGCCUAAAUAGAGAGCCAAAACUAAAGCAAAAGCCAAUUUCAUUGUUGGCCAAGUGUUACAAUAGCUCAAAUUACUCCUUUUCUAUCAAGAGUUGGGGGGAACACCCUAUAGAUUGAAGAACAACAAAUAUAUUAUCAAUAUUAUCACAAAUUUAUGUUAAAACUGCACAAACUUGAAAUAUCAUCUCUAUUAAAGAGGGGGAAAACAAAAAGAAACCCUAAAUAAAGUUAAAAGUACCAUUAGAGGGAGUCCAAAACUACAAACAAGGUAACUUAUUAAAACAGAAAAGGGGAAAUGAGAUUAUAUUGAACUAUCCAAAAUGAAAGAAGAAUCAAGUUUUUAACUUGCACUAUAACAGAGAAAUCCAUUAUAAACACAUACCUAAUGCUUGUAGAGAGAAAAUUUGGUUAGAAAAAUGGAUUACCCAUGAGAAAUAAAUGGCAUGUAUUUGCUGGAAAAAAGUGGAGCUCAACUUGGGCACACAUCAAAGCAGGAAAAGUAGCAUGUUUUGCAUGGCAAGAUCAAAUCUUUGAUAUGGUGGGAGAAUAAAGAAUCCCAUUGACACAACAAAGUAAUGAUAUUGAGAGAGAGAGAGAGAGAGAGAGAGAGGGGGUAAGUAGGCUAUGGCUCUAAUGGUAAGAGGUGUAGCAUAUUUCAUUGGCAUAUAUUGUGUGAGGUUAUGUAGGGCCCUGAAGAGUUACUAACUUUUUAAUUUUGUGCAAAUAUACAUUGAUGGCCUUGUCCCCUUCAAAAACUUUUCUUUUCUUUUCUUUUCUUUUUUUGUUAAGAGAGAUAGGUAACACGCUAACUGCUUUAUUUAUUUCAUUUAGAAAUAAACUUAGUUGAAAAUGUGAAUCAAUUAGGAUUCAAAUUUGGGACCUCGACUACUAACUACCAAACCCUUUGUCACUUACUCUAAAAAUGAUCGGUUCCGCUUCAAAUACUUAAAAAAGUUUUCGCCUACGCGAGGUGUCUACUAGUGCAUUCUCUGAAAUACAGUGAAAAAUACAAAAUAAUUAAACUUCCAACUCAAGAUCUCAUAUAUUUAUUAUCAAACUCUUAUUAGUUUACUGUACUAUAUACGUCCAAUCAACAGUAUAAAUUUUGAAUACAAAUUUAUAAUAUGAAACGACAACUCUUUCUCGGUUGGUGAUUUUUGGGAUUAUUUGAUGUCUAGUUAAAACAUUUUUAGAACUUUAUAAUGUUUUAUAUAGUGGUUCUUUUGAUUGUGUAGGUCACAUCAAUCUAACUGAAUUUUAAUAUUAAAAUAUUAAGUUUCAUGUUAUGUAAAUGCAUGAUGUGUAUAAUUACUAUGCUUUGUCCAUGUGUAUAUAUCAUAAAUUUUUUAAUUUGUUAACAUAUUAUGGCAUAAAAUAUUUAUUUUUGGUAUUACUAUAUUCUAAUUACUUAUUAUAUAUUUUUCAUUAAUUUUUUUGCUUUAUUAAUAUAACUACUGGCUAAUUACAAAAAAAACAUAAUUUUGAAUCAUGUCGUCGGCAUGGAGAUUAUAUUGUACUGAUAUCUUAUUAGCAUAUAUAGUAUGAUACGAUAGUCACGACCUGUGCUGAAGAAUUUAAGCAGACAAUGAUUUCUCUCAGGGCACUUUGGAACUGCCCCUUAAUCAAUUUUUUUUUUUUUUUGAGGCUUCAUUAUACUAUCCUUUUAAUGUAAAUAUUUUUUGUCGAUUUUAUUAAAAUUUUAGUAAAUUGAAUAAUAAUUUUUGCUAAAUAUAAUUCUUCUGAAUGUAUUUUCAAUUCGGCAAGCUGCAGAUUUUGCUAAUCGUUACUAAAGUCAUAGCUUACUAUGUCCCAAUUUUAAAUUUAAAAAAUAAUUAAAAUAAAAAAAAAUGUACAAAAUCAAGAAUAUGUUCGUCUGAAAGUGUGUGGUCAAAAAGAUUUUUAGGGUUGGCAAAGAUGAACCUUCGAACAACUGGGUAGGGAUGAACCAACGAGAGCGUGACACGUAAGCAGAAAUAAUAGCACACGUGUCCGUACUUUAUUGGUGGGGGAGGGAACAGUUGCACAUAUUGUCUUUGGGAUUUUUGCUAGUCGGAACUCGGAAGGAAGGUACAUGUCCUUGUGUUUGCCUUUUCUCUUUAGUCCAUAAUAAGGAGCAGGAACAACAGUUCCACCUCUUUUUUUUUUUUUCUUUUUUUUUUUUUUGUGAGAAUACAAAAAAAAUUAGGUCUUAUUUUUUUUUUAUAUAUAUUCGAAUCAAACACAAUGUAAAUAUACUGUAUUUGAUUGAGGGAAUAAUUCUUCUUAGGCAAUGGUAGUGUGCCGCUUUUUUAAUAAUUUCACAUCGAAUAGUUAUGACUAAAUGUGGGGGUAUAUAAGUUUGAUUAUGUUAGACAUAAUAACUGAAUUUAAGUAUUUUGGACCAGUAGUUUGAAUUCAAUGAGUUAUUAUUGUUAACGGGUCGUAUUGUUAUAAUUAGUAUUAGAGUUAGUUUACCAGUCAAAAGUGUGAGAUGAAUUUUGGCUGAGCAAGAGUCGGAAUAACAAGACUAGUAAGACUCAUAUCGUCUAAUGAUCUGAGACUGUUUGUGUGUUUAGAUCUGACUAGGACGUCAUGACACCCCAAUAAUCUCACAUCCCAAUAAUAUCAUAUUGAAAUGUGGGGGUAUAUAAGUUUGAUUAAGAUAGACAUAAUAACUGAAUUUAAACAUUUCAGGUCAGUGUGGUUUGGGCGGAUUAGAUCGUUACAAGAUGGGGCUUCUUUUUUUCUUUUUUUUUUUUGGAAAUAGAAUUUUAUUAAAAGUUAAGCAAGCACAUGAUGCAUAACAAUACAAUUUGGUGCAUCUAGUAACAAAAGCUUUUGCAGUUCUAGAGGAUGACUAUCCUCCCAAAAGGUAAAGCAAUUAGCAUAUCUACCAAAAUGCGCAAGCCAAUCAGCUGCCUGAUUAGCUUCGCGAGGAAUGUGACUAAUACAAAAUGAACAAAAUAAGUGCAAAAGUGAGAAACAGUCAGUAAAGAUAGAUCUUUGCUUCCAAGGGAUCUCCGUUUUCCUCGUUAAGAUGUUCGCCAGGAGCAUCGAGUCGGUCUCCAAAAUUAUAUUGUCCAACUGCCGCUCAACAGCCUUAGUAAGAGCAUGCCAAGUGGCUUUGGCUUCGGCAUCAAGAACUGAAUUACAGCAAAGUCUCCCAGCACCUGUAAGGAUAAAUUGACCAUCAGAAUUACGAAAAAUAAAGCCAGCUCCUCCAAUACCAUCUGUAGGAUUAUAAGAACCAUCAGAAUUAAUCUUAGUCCAACUGCUGGGAGGCGGAUGCCAUUCAAUGGUUCGACUAAUCCUAGAUUGCCUUGGAGGAGUAGGCUUAAAAUAUUCGAUAGUUCUAGACAAAGUGCGAUGAGCCAAGAUUUGAUUGGAGUCUCUUAUUCUCUCAAAGAGAAAGCCAUUUCUAUACUUCCAAAGGGUCCAAAAGCCAUUUAAAAUAAUAGAGUGAAGGAAUCUUCUUCCAUCACUAUUGAGCAAAAGGCCUUCAUUUAACUAGGAACCCUCGCACCAAAGGUUGAAGUGCUGUGGAUGAGAGCUCACAAGAUGGGGCUUCACUGCCAUGUCUCCAACUUAGGAGCUUUUUCCACAUCUUUAGACUCCAUUUUGAAUUACAGGAGUACAUGUUAAUUAGAUACAAUUUUAUUCAUUUUCAUAAAAAAAAUCUCAUAUUGUGCAUUAGUACAAUAAUUUGAUUAUUAUAUUACUGUUGUGGUUUUAUCGAGUAGCGUAUUCUUAUAGAUAAUGUUUUCUAUUCUUUUUGACCAAAUAGCGCCGUAAGUCACGCUUUUUUUGGUCACCUACUUGGAAGUUGGUGAAAUAUUUAUAGUAUUAUUUAUUUUACUACAAAAUUGACUUGUCCCAAUACAAUAUCUAUCUACAAAUAUUGUAUUUCUAUAUUGAUCAAGAUCUCUCAAAUUUUUAUUAGAGCUAAGUGGAUAAUACAGAAGAUCUUUGAAAAUAUAAUGUAUUAUUAUAAAACUCUAUUCCGGGUAUUCAAGCGAUUCCAUUAUAAUAUUUUGGGAAAACUUUAAAAACUCCUUUGGUUUCGUAUUUUUUCAUUUUAGUACCAUAUGAUUUAAAGUGUAUCAAGUUAGAACCCUGUGGUUUCGCACUUUCUCACUUUAGUACCCUGUCGUUUAAAACGUAUUAAGUUAGUACUCUGUGGUUUUAUUUUUAUAUCAAAUUAGUAUCCUGUGGUUUUAUUUUUGUAUCAAGUUAGUAAUCUGUGGUUUUUAAACCACAGGGUACUAAAGUGAGAAAGUGCGAAACCACAGGGUACUAAUUUGAUACACUUUAAACCACAGAGUACUAAAGUAAAAAAGUGCAAAACCACAGGGUAUUAACUUGAUACAGUUUAAACCAUAGGGUAUUAAAGUGAGAAAGAGUGAACCACAAUGGGGGUAUUUGAAGUUUUUCCUAAUUAUUUUUUCACAUGGUUUGUAGACAGACCCUAAUAAGGGUAUUUAUGUAGUGCUUUUAUAGAAGUUUUUAAGUAAAGCUGAAAAAGCUUUCAUAGCACAUGGAGCAAUGACUUGUUUCUACGCUUUCGGAUUAUGUUGUGAUCACCACAAAAGAAAGUUUAGGAGGAAACUUCUAUUCCCAGUAUUCAAGCUGUUCCUUUUAAUAGUAUCUUUUCUUUGUAUGGUUUCUAAAACAGUCGCUAAUAAUAUAUAGUAUUUAUGUUGCUUUUACAGAAGCUUUUAAGUAAAGCUGAAAAAACAUUUAUAGCAGGAGUUCUGCUACUAUACUCUUAUGAGUAUAGUUCUUUUUGUAUUCAUAAAUUUUUGGUCAUUAGAUCUAUUUCUUUGAUUAUUUUCAUCUGUUAAAUCAUACUAUUUAACUAACCAACUACUUACUCAAUCCUAGAAAACACUAUCAUCUUAACUGAAAACUACUGUUAUUCUACACAUCCUUAACUGAAAACUACUGUUAUUCUAGUACCGCACAUCCUUCGAUAUGAUGAUUGAAUUCUUGGGUUUACUCAUCAAUUGGCCGAAAAUUUAUGAGUAUAACGAAAUCUAUACUCAUAAGUGUAUAGCAGCUUUACUCUUAGUCUACUACUUACACUUUAAUGUGAUGCUUGAAUUCUUGGGUUUGCUCAUCGACUGUAUUUAACACAGUUGGCCAAGAACUUGAUGGUCGAGACUCGAGGUGGUGGGGCGUCCUAGUUUACUACUUACACUUUAAUAUGAUGAUUGAAUUAUUGGGUUUAGUCAUAGACCAUAUCUAGCACAGUUGGUCAUGAACUUGAUGGUCAAUACUCAAGGUUCUAAAUGAGUUUAGUAAUCGGCCGUAUUUAGUGUAGUUGACCAAGAAUUUGAUGAUCGAUACUUGAUGUGUCAAGUUCAAAGUUUAAUUCUUGUAUAUUUCUACCUGAGUUUAUUUUUAUAAAAUAAAAAAAAAGAACAAAGCGGGUAGCUUGCUACCCGUCUCUCUCAAAAAAAAAAAAAAAAAAAAAGAUUCUUGGAUUUAGUCCAUUAUGUAGCAUAGCAUAGAAUAUUAUAAAGCAUAGUUUGAAGAUUUUGAGCUACUUUUUUCUAAGUGGUAUAGUGCGAUUAAUCAAGUUGCUUAUGUGAACGCAAUGACUUUAUUGUGACGGAGUUAUGAUAAUGCAACUUGUUAGCAUCUGGUAUCGUCCAAAAAAGCAGGGUCCUAAGAUAAAGGAAAAGGAAACGCAACUAAGAAAAAGUUUGAAGAGCGCGUUUUGCAAUCGUUCAAGAGUAACUUAGUACGAAGCUUAGCUUGCGGUUGGUUGGGGGUUAAGGGGUUACCCCUUAUAUAUAUAUAUAUAUAUAUAUAUAUAUAUAUAUAUAUAUAUAAUACAUCUUUCUAAUCAAACACAGAAACACUACUACAAGUACCAAUGGCCAGUUGUUUGUACAAUUGGAUUGUCGUUACGAAACAUGUAGUAUAAAGAUCGAUGUUUAAAAUGUGAGAUUGGAGAGUUGUUGGUUUUAAAUGAGUGAAUAGAUUGGUUAACAAAUAAAGAUUAUAUACUAUUUAAAAAAAUUUUUUUAAAAUUUGAUAAUUUACUACCCCACUCUGCACACUCUACAUGUGGAAUAUUAUCCCGUAUAUUACUGUAAAAAGAAAUUAUAAAUUUUUCAAACCAAGUUUUUCAUUAGUCCUUACAAUGGCAUAGUUCUUAGUGAUCAAGUUAGUCGUCCAGCUGGUGGCAAAUUUGAUGAAAAAUUAAGAUAAUAUGUCUGUUUAUAUGUAUAUAAUAUUAAAAUCAUAUUAUGAAUUAAUAUUUAUGAUUAAAAAUAUAGUUUAAUUCGUAUAUAUACAAAAGUUCAAAGUAAAAAAUAUUUUGAUUAAUUGGACGCAAUUAUCUUUUAUUUUAUUCGAAUAAACUAAAAUUCGGCGAUAACCUAAAAUUAUAUUAAACUUUUUUUUUUUAGACUGGCUAAACUACUUUUAACCUGGCCAAGUGGCCAAACUAACAACUUUGUAACCAAAUUUACUAAGUUUUACUAAAAAAUUAAAUAGGCUAAACUUUUUCAACUUGGUUUAGCGAAAUAUCUGGCUAGUAGAGAUCUGGUCAGCUUAAUCGGUUAAGCUGGAUUAAAAAUUUAAUAAAAAAAUAAAAACUGGGUUACCCUCUGAACGAUACGGUUUUCACUCUAAUAUGUCCCAAGAAAAAAAAAAAACCCAAUUUCCCAUGAAUAAUUAAUGUGACGAAAUUUUAAGGACGUGCCUUACACUGAUUUCUCUUUACAUCAUUUACAGCUCUAAACCAAUCUAAACAUUUAAUUAAGAUUAACUUAAUCCUAAUGAUAAAUUUAUACAACCUCUAUUUAAUUUUAAAUUUAUGAUUAAUCUCAUACUUAGAUCGAUCUAAUCUUAUUUAUAAAUUUAGAUAAUCUUUAUUUGCUUUAUAUCUAAAUUUAUAAAUAAUCUCAUCCUUAAGAUAUAUAUGAUCCUAAACCCAUGCAAAAUAACAUUCGUAAUAUAUUCGUGGUACAUCCCACGAAAACCUCUCCCUCAUACCGGUUUUUCAACUUCGAGAAAUCAUCCAACAUGUUCUCUCUCUCUCAACCGGCCAACGUAUGUGAAUCACGUGCCCACGUACACUCUCUCUUUCUCUCAACAGAAAACCUAAAUUUUUUCUGCUCUUUUCCCAUCUUCUCUAAGUCUUUCUCCCAAGCCAACAUCGAUGAGAUAACGCCUUCUCCUCAGUACACAUUAUAAGAGCAUAAAUUAUUUAAAAUAAAAUGAGAAUAUAAAAGACAAAACUAAAAAGAGAGAAAACACUAAUAUAGUCGAAACGACUCUUCUGCCCAAAUACCAUUUUAGGCUAAGCUGCGAAGGCAACGCCUUAGGGUUGUUAGCCAUGGCCUAGGUGUUGUCAGCCAUAGCUUCGCCCAACGCCUAAGUGUUCUAGACCAUGGCCCCACUCAUGGCCUAAGGGUUGUUAACCAUAGCCUCGGCUUCCAAUGGCUAGACGCCCUCUCUAGUUGCCUCUACCGGUGUUUUAAACUUUAACUCUUCAAGCUGCCGUUCUUGUUAAAGCCUAACACCGUUUAAUUUCAUGCCCGCUAGGAGCAUGUAGUUCUCAACCUGCUCUGCAACUUGCCCUUCCUCCACUUCGGCCUCAUCCAGUGCCUACGCAGUACCUGCUUCUACCCCGCCUUCCGCGUUUCAUGCGAAGUGGAUAAUAAUCGUCUACUCUAAGAAAUGUUGUAUCGGUUGCUCUGCUGUGAUCGUUUCAACACCUUCUUUAACCUUCUAGACAUUUACUGGUUUAGGAACUGCUUGUCCAACAUAAACUUCAUCGCUGAUAAAUGAGACGCCUAUGUCUUUCGCCGCUCGGAUGUACUCGUAGAAUUGCUCAAGUUGUUCCACCACCGGGUCAACUGAUCGUAGUCUCAGUUAGAUCUACUACUCCUGUUCCGCGACUAAAAUAAUAGAAGCGACGACUGUUGUAUACUCAUAGACCACUGGUGCAACGAAAUACCGUUCCUCUGAUAUUCGUAUCUCCGCCAGUGCUGCCGCGAAAAGAGCUUGCUCUACGCUUUCUACUGAGUCCUCAGACCGUACGUCCCGGCACUAUGACGAGAUCACCACUCUCGCUUCUUUCUCCGCUGUUAUAGUCGUUGACUUCUAGCUGUCUUCUUCGGCGAUAGGCUCCACCUCACGAAAAUGACAGUGUCCUUUCCUGUAUAGUUCGUGUUAAUAGUUUUUGAAAUCCCACUAGACUUACUCAAUUUCGCUAUCUUCCUUUUUUGACAACACUUGGUCCUACUCUGCCAUAUUCGCUACCGCGUCCGCUGUCUCAGCCUCUGCUAGCUAAGACUACACGAUAAACGCCGCUGGCCUCCUCGAUUUUAAAGCCUACUGCACACUCACGAGCUAAGUCGCACAAGAAAAGUGCAAACGGGCCUCUUUCUCAGAAAACGAUGGAUAUUCCAUUAGUUCCCACCUUUUCGAAACUACCCCUUGCCCUGCCGCACGUUUUAAAACCCUCAGCCGUGCUACUUCUAGGCUUACGUGCUACCCCAGCACUCCUGCGACUGUCCACACGCCGUGCAAGGAUCUAACUUCGCCUUAAAUUAGAGCAAUCCGUAUAACCUGAGCUUCCCAACGUAUAAAGUCGAAGUCCACCUCGAUAUUCUCAGGCUUUUACUCUAGCUCAUCACACGUUCCGUUUGUUCGCGCUCUUGAAUAUGUAGAACUUACCUUCUUGUCAGACUUGCCUUCGCUUCCGCCAAACCCAAGGUUUUCACCCUCUACGUCAGCGAGCUCUGCUUCGCUGCCUAUGCCGUUAUAGCUCGCCUCCUCUAUUCGAGUUCCACCUCGAACGUACUACUCGAGCUGUGUCGCCAACUUCCGAUGUUUAGGUUGAUUCCACCUCUUACAAUCCUAAACCAAUCUAAACAUCUAAUUAACUUUAACCUAAUCCUAAUUAUAAAUUUAGACAACCUCUAUUUAAUUCUAAAUUUAUAAUUAAUCUCAUACUUAGAUUGAUAUAAUCUUAUUUAUAAAUUUAGAUAAUCUCUAUUUGCUUUAUAUCUAAAUUUAUAAAUAAUCUCAUCCUUAGGAUUUAUAUAAUCCUAAACCCAUGCAAAAUAACAUUCGUAAUAUAUUCGUGGUACACCCCACGAAAACCUCUCCCUCAUGCCGAUUUUUCAACUUCGAGAAACCACCCAACAUGGUCUCUCUCUCUCUCUCUCUCAACCAGUCAACGUACGUGUAUCACAUGCCCACGUACACUCUCUCUUUCUCUCAACGGAAGAUCUAAAUAUUUUCUACUCUCUUCCCAUCUUCUCUAAGUCUUUCUCCCGAGCUCAACAUUGAAGAGACAACGUCUUCACCUCAUUACACAUUAGAAGAGAAUAAAUUAUUUAAAAUAAAAUGGGCGUAUAAAAGACAAAAAUAAAAAAAGGAAAAAACACUAACAGAGUCGAAAACGACUCUUCUACCCAAAUACCAUUUUUAGGCUAAGCUGCGAAGGCAACGCCUUAGGGUUGUUAGCCAUGGCCUAGGUGUCGUCAGCUAUAGCCUCGCUCAACGCCUAAGUGUUCUAGGCAAUGGCCCCGCAAUGGCCCGCUCAUGGCCUAAGGGUUGUAAUUUCUGAUUUAAUGUGAAAGUUCAGAAGUUUAAUACUUCGUACACUAUAAACACCAAGAGUUAAAAAAAAAUAUAUUAAAGAUCAAGUUUGAAACAUUUGGUAAUAUUAGUUUGAAAUAUUAGAUUAAUUUAACUGAUUUAUCACUACACUUUCAUUAUACCAUAGAACUCGUAAUAGUAGUACAGAAGUCUCGUAUCUUAGAACGAGAGAGCACUUUAAAAUAAAUGAAAAACAUUCUUGCGUCGUUUCAUUUACCGUUUACAUUAUAGCGCUCCCUUGCAUGUGAAAGGUUUCAAAAGGUUUUCCUUUUUUUUAUAGUAACGCCCACUACGAUAGAACUAAAACUCUGACGUUCGUAUAAACCAUACAUAUAUAAUCGAGAAUAAGCCAGAGCAACUUUACGAACAAGGCGGACUGACAUUUGAUUUAAGAUUUAAAACUCUUUCAAAACGAGAUGAGUCUGUAAGUUCGUAAUGGUUACGAAUUAAAGUAACUCGCUUAUCGGUUGUUCCUAGUUAAAAGGUUUAACCUGCGAGAGAAAAUUCGAACGCAAACCAACCCCCAAUUCCCCACCUUAUUGGGGAAUUGGGGGUAAAUUAAGGGUUUGCGUUCGUAAAUCCCCACCCCAAUCAUUUGGGGUGGGGUUUGGCCCAAAUAGACUAUUUGGGCCAAACCCCACCCCAAAUGAUUGGGGUGGGGAUUUAUGAACGCAAACCCCUAAUUUACCCCCAANUAUUUAAAACAAUAAUUUAUUUUAAAUGAUUACAGUGAGACUAUUUUAGUAAUUUUACUAUCUUUAUUAAUCAUUAUCUUUCUUAUCCCACCUACUCCAACCAAUUAUUAUCUUUCUUUAUCAAUCAUUAUCUUCUUAUCCUACCUACUCCAACCAAUCAUUAUCCUUCUUUAUCAAUCAUUAUCUUCUUAUCCCACAUACUCCAACCAAACACUAUUUUUCAUUAUUCUAGACUAACUCCAACCCCCAACCAAACACAAAAAAAUUUUAACCCCACUUUAACCCUGAACUUAACCCUAUUCCUGUAAUAACUACUUUUUUCUUAACCCCGAACCAAACGGAGGCAUAGGGAAUAAAGAAUUGAAUUCAAAAAAAGCUUAUUGUUCUUUUUUUUAGUUAAAAAAAGAAAAUUGUUACGAAUUCAUAGACGUAAAAGAAAAAUCAUGAAUUAAAAGAUUCAUAUGGACGGAUGAAUCCAAACCUAUAAACUAUUAUGUCACAUAUCAUGCCAAAAUAUUUGUCGUCCAAAGUUUUAAUCUAAUUAGAAAAAAAAUACUUUGGAAUUAACACUGUUGGUUAUUUAUUAUUAGACUAAAAUUAUUCAAACUUGCUGUUUCGUAACAAUAUGUUUAGGAGACUAAUAAGUCGAGUUGGAAGAAUCUAAUAAGUUGAGUGAGACUGCGAUCGACAAGAAACCUAACGACAAGAAGUCCAACAAUAGACCUAACGUUCAAACAGAUUGAAUCAGGUUGAAGUCCGUAAAUGCUAUGUCUGAGUCCUUAAGUGCAAUAAAUACGUCAUUUAUAUCAACAGGUGCUUUUGGAAUAGUUGGUUAGCGUUUAAGAUCCAUAAACAUAACUCCUAAUAUAAAUAGAGAUGUAAUAUCAAAGUCAAUUCUUUGAUUCCUUUUCCACGUAGUAGGGGAAUGGGUCCUAAGAUCAAGGGGAAAGAAACACCACUGACUCAGAAAAAGUUUGAAGAGCGUGUUUUGCAAUAGUUCAAUAGUAGCUUAGAACGAAGCUCAGAGAAUGGAGAGUUGAGUUCAAAAAGAAAUUUAUUGAUUUUCUUUAGUAAAAAAAUAAAAAUAUUAUGAAUUCAUAUAUAAAUAGUCCAACGUGAAAGAAAAAUCACGAAUUAAAAGAGUUCACAUGGACCGCCGAGUCCAAACCAAUAGAGUAUCAUGUCACAACAUCAUAUGUCAAAAUAUUUAUCAUCCAAAUUUUUAAUCUAAUUAAAAAAAAUAAAAAAAGACUUUGGACUUAACGUAGUUCCUAAUAUAAAUAGAGAUGUGACAUCAAAGUAGAUCUUUAAAAUCCUUUAUUCUUUUUCCACUACUUAAUGAUUCCCCAAAAAGCAGAAAAACGGAAUCAUUUGGCAAAAGAAUCAUCCCAUAUCAAUUUGGAGAAUCUUCUCCUAAACCACUUUAAUUCCCACUUGUACUAUUUAAUCAUUAAACAACAUGAUUCUUGAAUAAAUUUACCACAUGCUAAUCUCACAUGUACUUUCACAAAUAUGCUUAUCUUUGGUUCCAACCGAAAAAAAAAAAAAAAACUUUAAAAACCUCCCCUGUGGUUUCGUAGUUUCUCACUUUGCCCCCAUGUGGUUUAAAAUGUAUAAAAUUGUCCCCAUGUGGUUUCGUUUUUAUCUUUUCGAUAACUUUUUUGUUAAUAUUUUAUUAAAUUAUAUACAAAAAACUUAAGAUACCUAUCUAGAUUUAUCAAAUAUUCACUUUAGUAUCCUUUAAUUUUAACUUUAUCACUGAUUUAAGAAAAAAUAAUAAUAAAAUUGAUAAGAAAAAGAGAAAAAAAAAAUCACAGGGGGGUAAAUUGAUAUAUUUUAAAUCACAGGGGGGCAAAGUGAGAAACUACGAAACCACAAAGCGGGUUUUUGAAGGUUUUCCAAAAAAAAAAGAGAGGCCAGAUUGUGACAUUUAAAAAGAUUAGUUAAAACGAACAGGAUGGGGGUUGAGAAAGAGAGAUGAAAAAAAAAAAAAACGAAGAGUAACGUACCACGAUGUUUCGCCGAUAUUUCGUCCAUAGAUGCAUCCCAACAUCAAAUCAGAUUGCUUUAUAUUUUAAUUAAGUUUAUAUUAACAAGUAAAAUAGAUAUUAUACUAUUUUUUUAAAAAAAUAAUAAAAUAAUAAAAUAAGUAGUAUGUUAUUUUAAAAAAAAAUAAAAAAAUAAGUGAAAAAUAUAGUAUGUUAUCUUUCUUAAAAAAAAAAAAAUGUAAAAAAAAAAAAGUUAGGAAGGGACUUGAGUUGAUAUUUCUUUGCCACUGCAUACGAGGUUUCCUAUGCGAUUUCAGAGUUAAUGUUAUUUUUUAUUAUUGAUUGGGUCAUGUGUGAACACGUGGAGGAAGAUGACAAAAUAAUGAUGGAAGGGAAUGUACGCGGACAAAAUAGUUAGUUGAUUCGGAUUCGACAAAAAUUCGGUACAAAUAUAAUACGCAUAAAAUUUAUUUUUUAAUUUUAAAAUUUGUUGAAAAAUUUGGCUUAAAAAACGGAUUCAGUAUAAAAUAUAAAAUAUAUGAUAUAAAAUAUAAGAUAAUUUAUAUUUAAAUAUAAAAAUUAUAAGUUUUUUAUUCAAAUUUUUAAUAAUUCGGAAAUAAUUAGCGAAUUAUUCGGCUAGUCCAAAAAUUCGCGAUUAAUUUUUUUUAAAAAAAAAUCGUAAAUNGAUAUAAAAUAUAAGAUAAUUUAUAUUUAAAAAUAAAAAUUAUAAGUUUUUUAUUCAUAUUUUUAAUAAUUCACGAAUAAUUCGGUUGGUCCAAAAAUUCGUGAAUAAUUUUCUUUCUUUGGAAAAAAUUCGUAAACAAACCAUUUAAUUCGGAUUUUUAAUAAUUCGCGAAUAAUUCGUGCAUAAUUCGGGAAUUAACUAACUAGGGGACAACCUCUCAAUUUUUAAAUUCUUUGUACAUAAAGGUUUCGUUUGGGAUUGCGAGAAGAUUGCGUUACGUGCGGUAAAAAGUAUACUGAAAAAAUAUCAUGUUUGUUUCCCUAUCGGAAAACGCAGAAAUAUAUUCUUAUAUGCUUUUUUUCUAACUUCAUUUUAUCUAACAGCGUUAGAUAGACCUCAAUACCGAACUAAUUAAGCCAAAGUAACUUCACUUAAAUAAAUUUAGAGCUUUAUUGAGUUUACUAAUAAUCUUAUUAAAAUUAAUAAAUUUAAUUAUUUUUAUACAGGAUAAAAUCAAUAGUUAAUGGUUAUUAGCUAGUACAGUUAUUAAAUUUGAUAAAAGUUCUAACCAACUGAUUGAAAUCAAUGCCCCCGCUUUGCGCACUGACUUUGACUCUGAAACCACUUAUAGGGUAGUUGACGCUAAUAGUUAAUUUUAAAAACUCAAUCGAUUAAAAAUAUAUAAUUAUUUUACUCAAAGUGUAGAAACACAGUAUUUCAAAUAUAAUUCGAUCCAACUGACCUCCUGGCAUUUUUGAACAUGGCACAGUCCAGUUCAACUUUUAGUUAAAAAUGUCUCAGUUCAAUUUGAUUUUAUGCCACAAGACAGAAUGCUGAUUAUUUUAAGCCAUUAUCCUUAAUCCCUCCCCUCCCUAAAAAUGCGCCCCCACGAAAGCGAAAAUUAAAUCCCUGAAAUUAAGGGUACACAGGUCGAACCCCGACAUCGAAGUUAAUAUCCCACGGACACACCGGCUGCAUCAGCAUGACGGUGUGAGCAGUGGUUGGAUAGCUACAUCAUCGUAAAUGACUUAUGAACAAACAUACUUAAUUAACACCAGAUCAAGCCAAAUGUUCGGGUUUGCUUCAAGUGUUCUUAGUCGAAACAAAUAGGACCUAACUCGACUCGCCUGACCUUCGACUAACAUGACUCAAUUCUGGUUCGCCCCAGACUUCACACCCUCGAUCCGACAUUGACCCAUAUUGGCAUUCGGUUAAAUCGAAUCAAGUGCGCUCAUGAUUAGGCUCGAUCCGAUGGUUAUUAUAUUGUCUAAUUAGAUUAAAACUUAUCUUGCUUUUAAAUUGAAAAGUUAAUUAGAGAUAUAUUCUAGUCAUAUUAAGAUAACAAUCAUAAACCGAUUACAUCUAAUCUUUUGCUUUUCUAUUAGGGUGUUAUGAUCCCUUAUAAAUAUAAAGGGUUAUUCGCUCAUAUAAAACAAAGAAGAAAAAAUAGAGAGAAAAAUAGAUUUGUGAGCUGUCUUGUGAGAGAGAGAAAUCACAUCCUGCAUUAACCUAUUAUCUUAAAGGGUAUUGAAAGGUGGAUUAGAGAUUGUGUUCAUUUGUAAUUUGAUCUAUCGCUGGUUUGGAACGUUAAAAAACCUUCGUGGAUGAUUCGAGGAUACGUAAAUCAACCUCUAAAAUCUGAACUCAUCGCGUUCUAUAGCGGAGUUGUUUUUACAAAAAACACGAACAAAUUCUUUCACUGCGUUCUACGAGGAAUUCUACACUGUCACACUUGCACCACGUCAUCAAUAACAAGCCAAUCACAUUCCUGCUUUUCAAACAAAAGUACAAUAAAAAUACUUUUUUACAAUCAUGAUGGGACAUAUAUUCUUAAAAGAAUUAAUUUGAUUGAUUUAUUACGCCACGUCACUAAUAUACCCGUUGCAUUCUAGAAUUUGUCGCGUUCUACAACCCAAAAAGUAGGUUGCUCGCAAGCCAUGGUAAGUCAAAUCCAACCUAUAAUUACAAAUCAAAUCCAAUAGAAAAAAAACUAUAGCAUGAAAUAAUCAUUUUCUCUUGCAACUUAAUAUUAAUUUAGGCAUUCAUAAUGUCGGAGUUAUCUUUAUUAUUGUCUGAAAAGAUAUAUACAUUGCAUCUGGUCUGAAUUUAAUAUAAAGGUUAAUUUCAUACAUGUCCAUACAAACACAGUGAAUAAUAAAUAUAUCCUUACAAAGUUUAACUUUCAUAUGUUGUUCUUGCAAAAAUCUUGAGGUUUUCAAAUAUGUUUCUGUCGUUAGAAUCCGUUAGAAAAAGUUAGUUAAUCAUAAGUUAAAUACUUACCCUAGUUAGUUUUUAAUAUUUUUAUCUCUUUAUAUUAUAUUAGUAUAGCUUUUGGAAGGAUAUAUUUGUGAUGGCAAAAUUGAAAAUAUAAACCGUUCUCUAACGGUAACAAACCAGGUGGCCAUAUCUGAAAAAAUUAGGAAUUUUGCAAAGACAACAUAUUAAAGUAAAACUUUAUAAGAAUAUAUUUAUCAUUCAUUAUAUUUGCAGGGACAUGUACGAAAUUA